GACGAACCGUGCGAACGUUGUUCGGAUUCACUGGGCUUAAAGGGCGCGUAGGCGGUCGACCAAGUCUGGGGUGAAAUCUUUCGGCUUAACCGGAAAAGUGCCCCCGAUACUGGCCGGCUAGAGGGAGAUAGGGGCAUGUGGAACUUCCGGUGGAGCGGUGAAAUGCGUAGAUAUCGGAAGGAACACCAGUGGCGAAGGCGGCUUUCUGGGCAUUUCCUGACGCUGAGACGCGAAAGCGUGGGGAGCGAACCGG
rnacentral:rRNA from 1 species